rnacentral:lncRNA from 1 species
CUGAAGUCUAAAGUAAGAUAGAUGAAAAUCAUUAGUCAAGUCAAAUAAGGAGGGAAAUUAAGUAAAACACCAUUCAUAAUAGUAUUCAACUGACCCUUCUCAACGCACAGUCAACUCCCAAAUUACAAUACUGGGGUGGGGGUGGCAAUCAGAGGAGCUAACAAGGUUGACUCACCAUAAGGAUGAUGUCAUAAAGCUCCCUUGCUUGCAUUGGGGGACUAUCUUCCCUUAGAGCAUGGUUUAAGGAACUGUCUUCCAGCUUCCUCUUUCCUACUCACCUUGUCCUCAUUGGCCUUUACUAAGCAGGAUUGAUGCUGCUUGGCUGAAAUCCAAACUGACUCAAGGAACAGUUGGGAUGUAUAGAGGACCAGAUGCCGACAAGCCCAAAGGAAAGCGGAGUGUCCUGUGUGCCACAUGGAACUCGGGGAAAGGAAAUGAUUAAAGCCGUGAGGUUUCCUGGCUCUUCGUGGUGUUUACGGCAUUGCGAGAACACGCUCACGGAUACCAGACUACUUGAGAAAACAACGUGUCUGAAAUACAAGAUACCUGCGAGCUGAUUUCAACCAUUUAUAAUGAACUCUGAGAGCAAAGCGGUGCAAUAAUCUAUAGAUCCUGUCUGACUUAAGAUCUGUUACAUAUCACAGAUGCCCACUCUACGUUUUUUUACCUGCUAAAAGUCCGGCGACGGCCCCUGAUAGUCAAUCUUGUUAGCCAGAUAAGAUGUUUUUAAUCACCGUGGAAAUGAAUCUCUAGGGGAAAAUCUACUUCAGGUUAAUUGGCGUAGAAAGAUCCACAUUAAAUAUAGGUACUAGCAUUCCAUGGAGUGGAGUCCUUAACUGAAUACAAAGAAAAAAAAGCAAGCUGAGCCCAUUCAGCUUUCUCUGCUUCCUGGCCACAGAUACAGCGUGGCCUGGAGCUUGGGUGUUACGUCUUGUCCCCUCUGCUGAACUGUACCCUAGAGAAUCCUGAGCCAAA